AGACGCGUCGCCACUCUUCACCCACCAUUCCAGUGCCGAUCCAUCCGAGGGAGAGCAUCCUCGCUGCUCUUCUCCACUGGUUCUCCAUCGCCGGCCGCGAAGAAGAUGAUGGCCGCAAUCGUUGAUGAGCCGCGGUCGUUUCCUCUUCUCUUGCGUUCCAUACUCUCCUCACCAUGCCGAAUAUUUCUCCUUUUGAUUUCAUCCUCUCUGGUGCAGCCAAUCGACGGGAACGCUGCCGUGCACACCGGAGCUCUGGAGCGCGCUCUGUGCACCGCCGCAGUGACAUCAUCGCCGUUCCCGCUUAUCUGGACCAAGCCGGGCCAAGCUGUCGCGCCAGCGUCUUCGCCUCGACCUCCUCUCCAUUUCCCCUCAAGAAUCUCGAAGGAUGGUGCUACGAGUGUGGAGAUCGUCCACCGUCUUCUCCACCUCCGGUCACCGUCGCCGUUGCCGAAUCCACCCCCUCCGUUCUUGGAGCUGAUUGAGCCAUCGCCGUUCACCCGGAGGUUCUUGCCGCCGCCGAGCCGUUACACGAGCCGCCGUCAUCAACCUAGCUACCCCAGCCAUGUCUAGCAUCUCGAUGAUUGCUUAAUCGGUGAAGAAGUGAUUUAGGUGCUGACAUUUUCCUGAUUCAAGGC